rnacentral:rRNA from 1 species
UACGAAGGGGGCUAGCGUUGUUCGGAAUUACUGGGCGUAAAGCGCGUGUAGGUGGCGAUGUAAGUCGGGUGUGAAAUCCCUCAGCUUAACUGAGGAAGUGCACUCGAUACUGUGUCGCUUGAGUGUUGGAGGGGAUGGCGGAAUUCUCGGUGUAGAGGUGAAAUUCGUAGAUAUUCGCAAGAACACCAGUGGCGAAGGCGGCUCACUGGCCCGAUACUGACGCUGAGGCACGAAAGCGUGGGGAGCAAACAGG